UACGGGGGGGGCAAGCGUUGUUCGGAAUUACUGGGCGUAAAGGGCUCGUAGGCGGCCAACUAAGUCAGACGUGAAAUCCCUCGGCUUAACCGGGGAACUGCGUCUGAUACUGGAUGGCUUGAGUUCGGGAGAGGGAUGCGGAAUUCCAGGUGUAGCGGUGAAAUGCGUAGAUAUCUGGAGGAACACCGGUGGCGAAGGCGGCAUCCUGGACCGACACUGACGCUGAGGAGCGAAAGCGUGGGGAGCGAUCCGG
rnacentral:rRNA from 1 species